GCCGCCGGGCGGUCGCCGCGCCCCAGGCCGCAACGGCCACUCGUGGGUCGCGCGUCUUCUGCGUCCCGGAAGCACCGUCCGGCUGCCCCAGCGAGGGGUGCGAGGGGUGCGGAGGGCCGGGAAGGUGGGCUCAAGAUUGCAAGGAGGAAAUUUCAAAUAUUCCACCCGUACACCCCCAACACACUCUGCUUCCCUAGUUGCCCAGAGGGAUAACCUCCCUCCCGGAUUUGGGGAAAGGGGUCGCCUAAACCUGCUUAAAAUGAGAAGCUUUUGACUUCCACCAGUUGGAGAGCAUUUGAAAUCCGAAAAGUCAACACGAUGGAGAAGUCCCGGGACAAGUGGGCCGAGGGUAUGGGACCCAGAGCUCCCUCUUUUCCAGGUGGAACGUAGCACAGGCGGCCGGGCAUGCGGGCUGCCGGGCUGGGGAACACCCGCAGCGCCUGCGGGUCAAGAGCUGAUGGCUCCGGACAGGACGCCGGAGUUCGAGCCCGCCCUGCCCUGGACCUCAGCCCCGACUCCCCAGGCCCGAUGCGCCACCUCGCUGCUGGCGCCCCCAGCACAGGCAGGGGCCCCUGCGAGCCACCCGCACCCGCCCGGCUGCGCUGCGUCCGCAGACCCCCAAGUGGCUUUCGGAGACCGCCGAGCCGCCGGGGUUGGGUCCUCGGAUCCACUCCGAGCCCUGUGAGGCUGCCCUGUCGCUUCACCCAGGACGUCCGCUUCCCGGAAUCUUUCUCCUAGGACUGGGUACUGCGCGCAAAUCCUCUCGUCCAGAUCCGCUUUCGGGGAGAAGCAGCAGCAAUUCGGGGCUCACCUGCCAUGGCUCGGAUCAACUACUUUCACCGCCUACCUAAACGCUUUUCCACCCACAGAGCGUGGGGACCCGUACGCGAUCCUCCUUAAAUUCCAAUAGCCUCAACCCCAAUAAAAAGCCGCGACCCCGCGGCUAAAUCCUAAAAAACGCCACCCGUUCCUCCGACUCCAGCCUCUGACGUAACCCCGGGCCCUCAACUCCUACCUCCAGACCCCUGCUCUGGCCGGGGUGUAGAUUCGAUCCCUAGCUACUCAGCGGCCCUUCAAUCCCGCUUCUGAAAACAGCCUGGAUCAUAUAACCCAAACUCCAGCCGGGCUCUGAAGCCCAGUCUUAGAACUGAUGCACAACCACCACUCACC
rnacentral:lncRNA from 1 species